rnacentral:lncRNA from 1 species
CCCCUAGGAGAAAAAAAAGAGGACCGGCUUUUUUAGAGCAAGACAAUCCCAGAGAGAUGAAUGAAGUGAAUGACCCAAGGUUACACAGGAUGGAACCUAUAUCUUCUGAUUUCUCUACUGGCCUGCACUCCACGUUCUGAGGAGGAGUCCUUGAAGCUACUGAGAUAAUGGAACAAUGGAGUAGAUAGUCCAUUAUAACUCAUCUGGGAUUCUUCUCAACUUCAAGUGACCACAGAAAAAAGGUUGUCCUGUCCAUUCUGUCCCUUUUGCUGUACCCAUGGUGACUGCAUCAGCCUGAGAAGACUGUGAUGUUACGUCUCUGCUUGAGAUGUUAGGGGACUGGAGAUGGCUCAGCAGUUAA